rnacentral:rRNA from 1 species
AGCAGCCGCGGUAAUUCCAGCUCCAAUAGCGUAUAUUAAAGUUGUUGCAGUUAAAAAGCUCGUAGUUGAAUUUCGGGAUCAAUAUAUCGGUCGUGCCCCUGUACGUACUGGUAUCAUUGAUUUCUCCUUUCUGACGAACAAUGAUGUCAUUAAUUUGGUGUUAUAGGGAGUUAGGACUGUUACUUUGAAAAAUUAGAGUGUUUAAAGCAGGCAUUAGCUUGAAUACAUUAGCAUGGAAUAAUGAAAUAGGACGUUUGACCUUAUUUUGUUGGUUUCUAGGAUCGACGUAAUGAUUAAUAGGGAUAGUUGGGGGCAUUAGUAUUCGAUUGUCAGAGGU